rnacentral:rRNA from 1 species
GCAGUCUGCAACUCGAGUGCAUGAAGCUGGAAUCGCUAGUAAUCGCGGAUCAGAAUGCCGCGGUGAAUACGUUCCCGGGUCUUGUACACACCGCCCGUCACACCAUGGGAGUCGAUAACGCCCGAAGUCAGUGACCCAACCUUAUAGGAGGGAGCUGCCGAAGGCGGGAUUGAUAACUGGGGUGAAGUCGUAACAAGGUAGC